GGGUGCGAUCAUACCAGCACUAAUGGAACGAAAAUCCCAUCAGAACUCCGAAGUUAAGCAUGCUUGGGCGAGAGUAGUACUAGGAUGGGUGACCCCCUGGGAAGUCCUCGUCUUGCACCCC